rnacentral:rRNA from 2 species
UACGUAGGUGGCAAGCGUUGUCCGGAUUUACUGGGCGUAAAGGGAGCGUAGGCGGACACUUAAGUGGGAUGUGAAAUCCCCGGGCUUAACCCGGGAGCUGCAUUCCAAACUGGGUGUCUAGAGUGCAGGAGAGGAAAGUGGAAUUCCUAGUGUAGCGGUGAAAUGCGUAGAGAUUAGGAAGAACACCAGUGGCGAAGGCGACUUUCUGGACUGUAACUGACGCUGAGGCUCGAAAGCGUGGGGAGCAAACAGG